rnacentral:rRNA from 1 species
CCUACGGGUGGCAGCAGUGGGGAAUAUUGGACAAUGGGCGAAAGCCUAAUCCAGCCAUGCCGCGUGUGUGAAGAAGGCCUUCGGGUUGUAAAGCACUUUCAGUGGGGAAGAAAGCCUUGGGGCUAAUACCCUCGAGGAAGGACAUCACCCACAGAAGAAGCACCGGCUAACUCCGUGCCAGCAGCCGCGGUAAUACGGAGGGUGCGAGCGUUAAUCGGAAUUACUGGGCGUAAAGCGCGCGUAGGCGGUCUGAUAAGCCGGUUGUGAAAGCCCCGGGCUCAACCUGGGAACGGCAUCCGGAACUGUCAGGCUAGAGUGCAGGAGAGGAAGGUAGAAUUCCCGGUGUAGCGGUGAAAUGCGUAGAGAUCGGGAGGAAUACCAGUGGCGAAGGCGGCCUUCUGGACUGACACUGACGCUGAGGUGCGAAAGCGUGGGUAGCAAACAGGAUUAGAUACCCUAGUAGUC